UACGGAGGGUGCAAGCGUUACUCGGAAUCACUGGGCGUAAAGGACGCGUAGGCUGGAUAGAAAGUCAGGUGUGAAAUCCUACAGCUCAACUGUAGAACUGCACUUGAAACUUCUAACCUAGAGUAUGGGAGGGGCAGAUGGAAUUAGUGGUGUAGGGGUAAAAUCCGUAGAUAUCACUAGGAACACCCAAAGCGAAGGCGAUCUGCUGGAACAUAACUGACGCUAAGGCGUGAAAGCGUGGGGAGCAAACAGG
rnacentral:rRNA from 1 species